rnacentral:rRNA from 1 species
GAUGAACGCUAGCUACAGGCUUAACACAUGCAAGUCGAGGGGCAGCAUUAGGUAGCAAUACUGAGAUGGCGACCGGCGCACGGGUGCGUAACGCGUAUCCAACUUUCCCGUUACUCUGGGAUAGCCUUCCGAAAGGGAGAUUAAUACCGGAUGGUGUUGAAAUUUCGCAUGUUAUUUCAACUAAAGAUUUAUCGGUAACGGAUAGGGAUGCGUGACAUUAGGUAGAUGGCGGGGUAACGGCCCACCAUGCCUACGAUGUCUAGGGGUUCUGAGAGGAAGGUCCCCCACACUGGAACUGAGACACGGUCCAGACUCCUACGGGAGGCAGCAGUGAGGAAUAUUGGUCAAUGGUCGGAAGACUGAACCAGCCAAGUAGCGUGAAGGAUGAAGGUUCUAUGGAUUGUAAACUUCUUUUAUAUAGGAAUAAGACCUCCCACGAGUGGGAGCUUGUAUGUACUAUAUGAAUAAGCAUCGGCUAACUCCGUGCCAGCCGCCGCAGUAACAC